UACAGAGGUCUCAGGCGUUGUUCGGAUUCAUUGGGCGUAAAGGGUGCGUAGGCGGCGCGGUAAGUCGGGUGUGAAAUCUCGGAGCUUAACUCCGAAACUGCAUUCGAUACUGCCGUGCUUGAGGACUGGAGAGGAGACUGGAAUUUACGGUGUAGCGGUGAAAUGCGUAGAUAUCGUAAGGAAGACCAGUGGCGAAGGCGGGUCUCUGGACAGUUCCUGACGCUGAGGCGCGAAAGCGUGGGGAGCAAACGGG
rnacentral:rRNA from 1 species